rnacentral:lncRNA from 1 species
UGCUGUCAUCAGGGACUUGGAAGAACUAUUGUUCAAACUGAAUUGUUAAACUGGCUUCCACAUGUAAGUGAUGCUUGUGAAAAUGAGGGUGAGAACAAACAGCUAGCCAAGGGCCUGUCCACCCCUCCUGGCGCCAGCUGAUGAUAGAUGGCCCACCCCAAGGAGCAGAACAGCCUGCCCUGGAAAUGCAGAUCAGUUUCCACCACUUUGAAACCUUUACUGGCUGUCAGCCUAGCAGGCGUCACAUCUUCCGCAUGGGGAGACAGCAGGCUGAGACGCAGGAGGAUGCUUAGCCUUAGGCCCUGAAGGUCAGGGCAAGACUCUGCCUCCUGGAACUUAACCCUGAGCUGAGGUUAAAGCAUCCUCUGCAAUCCAGCUGAGGGGUCAGGUUUCUGGACAGCUCAGCCAGUAUUCCCUACCCUCUAGCAUCCAUCACAAUUUAGGGAAAAAGUUCUCCUUCAUACUGGUGUUUUACCUUAUUUAGCAGAAAAGCCAACUGGUUGACCCCAGGUGGAAAUCUCCCAUGUUUAAAGGGCCUGGACUUUGUCAUUACACAAUUGGCUCCUUCUGAUAGUAGUUGCUAAAAUCCUUUGCUUUUUCACUCCUUGUAGAACCUUAAUGCGUUUUGAUAAAAACUUGAGGUCCCAGUGACUAGCUCAAGAUCACACAGCUGGUCAGUAGCAAAGAUGGACAGGACUAGAAGUUAGUUCUGCUGCCAUGUUAUUUACUUAUCCAAUAAACCAUUUUUAAACAUGCAGAAUGUAUGUAUUAGUUACAGUACAGAGUAAGUUUCUGUAACAGGGAGAUCCCCAAACUUUUCCUGUACAUAACACUUUCAGAAGCUGAUAGGUGGUCCAGGGCAGGUAGGCUGCUCAGCUACCUGAGGUUAAUCAGGAGCUCAAAUUCCUUCUAUCUUGUUGCCUGGGUUGUCUUUUUUUUUUUUGAGAUGGGGUCUCAUUCUAUUGCCCAGGCUGGAGUACAGUGCGACACUCCAUCUCAAAAAAAGAGAAAGAUCUGGCCCAUAGGUUAACAACCCCUGUCCUGACAUGUCCUUUCCACCAUCAUAUCUGUGUUCCAGAAAGAGGAAUGAGGAAGUGGAGGGGUUGAAUUUUCUCACAAAAACAUGAUCCACAGGUAGAAAUAGUGCAGCAUAGUCACACAAUAGAAUACUACGCUACAACAAGAAUGAAUGAACCACAACUACACACAACGCGGAUGAAUCUCACAAGUAUAAUGUAGAGCAAAAGAAGCUGACACAAAAGAUUGCAUAUUGAUUGAUUACAUUUAUAUAAAGUAUAAAAACAGACAAAAUUAAUCUAUGGUAUUAAAAGUCAGGUUGCCUUUGUAAGGGAUAGUGACAAGAGAAGACUUCUGAGAUCUGGAAAUGUUCUAUUUCUUUUUCUUUUUUUCUUUUAGAGACAGGGUCUUACUCUGUUGCUUAGGCUGGAGUACAGGAUGCAAUGGUGCAAUUGUUUUAUUUGUUGAUCUGGAUGGCAUAUGUUCCCAUGCAUGAGUGUGUCCACAUGUGAAAAUUCACUAAGCUUACCAUUUGUGUACUUUCCUAUAUGUAUACUCCAACAAAAAAAAGUUUGUAUAAAUUUCAAAAAAAAAAAAAUAGUGAUUCUGAAGUUGCAAUCACUUCUCAGGUCUCUUUCGGCCAAAACUUAGAGGACCACUUAUGACUGCAGGGAAUCUGGGAAAUGCAGGUUCAUUAAUUUUUUUAAUUAAUUAAUUUAUUUAUUUAUUUUAAGAUGGAGUCUUGCUCUGUCACCCAGGCUGGAGUACAAUGGCGUGAUCUCAGCUCACGCCACCUCCCAGGUUCAAGCGAUUCUCCUGCCUCAGCCUCCUGAGUAGCUGGGAUUACAGGUGCACGCCACCAUGCCUGGCUAAUUUGUAUUUUUAGGAGAGAUGGGGUAUCACCAUGUUGGCCAGGCUGGUCUUGAACUCCUGACCUCGUGAUCCGACCACCUCGGCCUCCCAAAGUGCUGGGAUUAUAGGCAUGAACCACCACGCCUGGCCUGGGAACUGCAGUUUCCAGUUGGGUGGCCAUAUGCCUCUAAAAUUUAGAGGAUUCUCUUAUUAAAAGGAAGAAGGGAAGAAUGUAAUCUAGGGGGAAAUUAGCAGGCUGUGCUACAGUCCACACAGCAGCACAGGCCCAUGACAGUUAUCAAAUCCUGCUGGGCAUGAGCUGUGAAGACCUCCACCCUGGCAGUAGAGUAAGUUCUUUGGUUAGCCCACCUGGCUGCCCUUGCUACUGUUUUCUGGGAAUAACUCCCUUGACCUUAGUUCUCUGUAUUAUCUGAGUUUACUCUCAGAUAGGUUAUUCGUUUACUAUAGAGCAUGGUCACACCUUUUUGUCCUUCUUCCCUUUUGCUUUUUUUUCUGCUUGGAACUUGGAUAUAAUGGCAGGAGCUGCAUCAGCCAUCUAGGGGCCAUGAGGGAGUCUUAGAAACCUCAGCCCUGAUUUCCUUGGUCUUACGACAUUAAUAACUGGCUACUUCUGACAUUCUUCUAUGAGAAAAUAAACUCUUAUGGUUUAAACCACUGACAUUGGGUCUUUGUUACCCAGAGCCAAACACAAUUCUCAACUGAUAUGGAAGGCCUCCCUAAGAAGAUGACAUUUAAGCUGAGGCUUGAAGGGUUAGCAGGUGGCAGAUACCAGAAUAGCAGAGGAAAACCAAAAGCCCUUUCCACUCCACUACACUGCUGACUGUCUAUCAUCCUCUAGGUAGGGAGAUAAGAGACUGGAGAAGUCAGGAGAGGAGAUUUCAAGGUGGGAUUGAUUGGCCAGGAAUGAUAGUGAUGCUGUGAGGAAAGGAGGGCUUGGUGAUGUGCUCUCAUCUCCAUGUGUACGUUUCCUUCAUGGCACUUGUCACACAGAAGUUGUGAUGACAUGAUGAACACCCGUCUGUCUGUUCUGCUAGACUGGAGUCUCCAUGAGGGCAGGGACAAUCCUUUCGACUGUUUAUCACUGGCAUAAUGCCUGGCACAUGGCAACCAUGGAACAAGUUAUUGGAUAGGCCGUAGUAGAAAGAGCUAGGGUAAGAGGAGGGAGAGAAAAGACACAGAAGCAGAAGAGUGGAAAACCUGGGAUUGUGCAGGCUCCUUGUUAAGGGGACACCAUCCCAUUAGAGCACCACAACACUCCUCAGAGGCAGACAAGGGGGAUUGAGGUCAAAUGGUUCCUUCAGGCACCCACAUGGCAUGGGCUGUCCAGCUCACAGCCUGUCUCUCCUGGCUACCCAACAGGCAUGAUGAGCUCUGAGUUGGCUAUCAGUGGUACCCCCCUCCCUAGCCAUAACAAUUGAUCCAAGACAUAGGUACAUGACUCAGGCUGGACAAUUAGAGUCCUUUCCAAGAAUUUUUAAACAAGAGCUAAGAAAAGUAGCUACUUCCUCUGCAGCUAUGAGAGCAUGAGCCUGGGUUUCCUAUCAUCUGGUCAAGCUUCCCGGAGGUGGCCAGCCUGGGGUAAUGAGCCUGGCACCCAGAGAAAAGCAGGGAAAGAGCCACAGAAACAAAGCACUACGGGUCGUCAAAUCCCUGGUUCCCGUAUGCCUCAGGUCAGCUCCACCCUGCCCUUCCUAGUUUAUGAGCCAAUAAAUUCCUUUUGUGUUUAAGAGAGUUAGUGUUGAGCUUCUCUCUUGAAAUCUAUCAACUACCUUUCUCUCCAAAAUGCACCCUGAAUCUGACCACUUCUCAUCAUCUCCACUGCCACCAGCCUGGUCCAAACUACUAAUAUGUUUUGCCUGGAUGAAUAUAACAGCCUCCCAAUGGUCUCCCUGUUCCUCUCUUGCUCUCCUACAAUCCAUUUUCCACCCAGCAGGCCAAGUGAUCUUAGACAAAUGUCAAUUAGAUUAUGUCACUUUCCUGCCUAAACCCUCCAGUGGCUUCUCAUCACUUUUAGGGUAAAAUACAAACUCCUUACCCUGUUUUACAAGGCCCACCAUGAGGAGUGGAUACUCCUGUCUGUCCUCUGACUUUAUUCCAUGCCACUUCCCCCUCAUCACUAUGAUUCAGCUAUAUUGGCCACCUUUUUGUUCCAGACACAUUAAGCUCAUUAUUUCUUCAGUGUCUUUGUACCUGCUUGCUUUCUUUUCUUUUCUUUUUUUUUCUGAGAUGAAGUCUUGCUCUGUUGCCCAGGCUGGAGUGCAGUGGUGCGAUCUCAGCUCACUGCAACCUCCGCCUCCCGGGUUCAAGCAGUUCUCCUGUCUCAGCCUCCUGAGUAGCUGGGACUACAGGCGCCUGCCACCACACCUGGCUAAUUUUUUUAUUUUUAGUAGAGACGGAGUUUCACCUUGUUGGUCAGGCUGGUCUCGAACUCCUGACCUCAGGUGAUACACCUGCCUUGGCCUCCCAAAGUGCUGGGAUUACAGGCAUGAGCCACCACGCCUGGCCUUUGUACCUGCUUUUUCAGGUCUUUGCAUGGUUAACCCCUCAUCAUUCAGUUUUUAGUGUAGUAAUAUAGUAAUCAUGUCUCCCCCACCUCAUCCCUUUCUAUCUUAUUAUGUUGUUUAAGAUAUUCACAGAAAUGAUCACUGCUAUAAUUAUCUUUUAAUUAUGCUUUUGCUUACUUUUUUGUUGGCUAUCUCCCCUGGAGUUUGAGCUCCAAUGGAGCAGGGCCCUCACCUGUCUUAUUUACCAUGUAUCUACACAGUAGAUGCUCAAGUAACAUUUAUUCAAUGAAUAAAUGAAUGCAUUACAAAAUGAGGAGGAGCUGGAGUUCCAGGCAGCCCCUAGAUUCCCUGUUGGGUCUUCUUUCCUCUGCCCCAUGCACACACAGUACACACUGUUGACUAAUGUUUAACUCAUAGAGGAGUUUGGGCUUGACAUGUGACCUCACUCAGCCUCUGUUUCAUUUGUGAAGUAAGAAAUAAGAGUGGGCGGCUGGGCGUGGUGGCUCAUGCCUGUAAUCCCAGCACUUUGGGAGUCUGAGGUGGGCAGAUCACGAGGUCAGGAGAUCAAGACUAUCCUGGCUAACACGGUGAAACACCAUCUCUACUAAAAAUAGAAAAAAUUAGCCGGGCAUGAUGGCACAUACUUGUAGUCCCAGCUACUCAGGAGGCUGAGGCAGGAGAAUUGCUUGAACCGGGGAGGUGGAGGUUGCAGUGAGCCAAGAUUGUGCCACUGCUCUCCAGCCUGGGUGACACAGCGAGACUCCAUCUCAAAAAAAAAAAAAAAAAAAAAAAAGGAGUGGGCUUAUUUCACAUAAGCCCACUCCUUGCUAAACCAACAAUGAUUGCCUAAGAUGCACGGAGCCAGUUGGUGGAAAAGUCCAUAGACUAUCAGAGUUGAAUGGUGCUGGUCAGGUGGGAGGAGCACCUCAUUCCUGCUUCCCCAUCAAGUUACUUGCCUUGGCCUGCUUCCUACUCUCUGGGUCACUGGUGCUCACACAGCCUUUCCCAACCCCCACCUCCAAAGGUCAUAUUUUACAGCUCCUUGUGAGGAAUUCACAUCAUGCCAUGACCUUCACUAUGAGAAAGCACAGGCUGUAAAAGGCCAGCCUGGCUCCCUGCUCCGUGGUUAAAUAUUGAUGAUAUUGGGCAAUAGAGACCUGGAGUGGGCACACUACAUAUCCCCCUGCAGUGAUGGAACCCACAGACCGCAGGUCCUCUGCAGUCCAUUCUCCUGCCUGUCCAGAGGAUCCGGAUGUUUUCUCUUUACUUGAGGCCAACACAUAACAAUGAAAGCACUGGGCUACUGGUGCUUUCGGAUUGUGAAAGUCAGGUGGAGCCUGUUUGCACUCUGAGUGCACUCAUUCAAGAGGUCAGUCACCCUGGAGUGAUACAGAAGGCUCCAGG